rnacentral:rRNA from 1 species
CCUACGGGGGGCAGCAGUGAGGAAUAUUGGUCAAUGGACGCAAGUCUGAACCAGCCAUGCCGCGUGCAGGAUGACGGUCCUAUGGAUUGUAAACUGCUUUUAUACAGGAAGAAACACUCCCUCGUGAGGGAGCUUGACGGUACUGUAGGAAUAAGGAUCGGCUAACUCCGUGCCAGCAGCCGCGGUAAUACGGAGGAUCCAAGCGUUAUCCGGAAUCAUUGGGUUUAAAGGGUCCGUAGGCGGUUUAAUAAGUCAGUGGUGAAAGCCUAUCGCUUAACGAUAGAACGGCCAUUGAUACUGUUAGACUUGAAUUAGUGGGAAGUAACUAGAAUAUGUAGUGUAGCGGUGAAAUGCUUAGAUAUUACAUGGAAUACCAAUUGCGAAGGCAGGUUACUAUCACUAUAUUGACGCUGAUGGACGAAAGCGUGGGGAGCGAACAG